rnacentral:rRNA from 1 species
ACUCAAAGGAAUUGACGGGGGCCCGCACAAGCGGUGGAACAUGUGGUUUAAUUCGACACUACGCGAGGAACCUUACCUAGGCUUGACAUGUAUUUGACAGUCGUAGAAAUACGAUCUUCUGGGCUUUUGUUCAGACAGAUACACAGGUACUGCAUGGUUGUCGUCAGCUCGUGUCGUGAGAUGUUGGGUUAAGUCCUUUAACGAGCGCAACUCUUGCCGUUAGUUGCAAUCUGUUAUGCAGAGCACUCUAAUGGGACUGCCUGGGAAACCAGGAGGAAGGUGGGAACGAUGUCAAAUCAUCAUGGUCCUUAUGCCUAGGGCUACACACGUGUUACAAUGGCCGGUACAAAGGGUUGCAAGCUCGUAAGAGUGAGCCAAUCUCAGAAAGCCGGUCUAAGUUCGGAUUGAGGUCUGCAACUCGACCUCAUGAAGUUGAAAUCGCUAGUAAUCGCGUAUCAGAUAUGGCGCGGUGAAUACGUUCUCGGGCCUUGUACACACCGCCCGU